rnacentral:rRNA from 1 species
UACGUAGGGGGCAAGCGUUGUCCGGAUUUAUUGGGCGUAAAGAGCUCGUAGGUGGUUCGGUAAGUCGGGUGUUAAACCCCCAGGCUCAACCUGGGGACGCCACUCGAUACUGCUGUGACUAGAGUCCGGUAGGGGAGCGUGGAAUUCCUGGUGUAGCGGUGAAAUGCGCAGAUAUCAGGAGGAACACCAGCGGCGAAGGCGGCGCUCUGGGCCGGUACUGACACUGAGGAGCGAAAGCGUGGGUAGCAAACAGG